ACGACGUUGGGUCCCUGUGGCCCAAUCUCCAACCCUCUGUCUACCUAAAACUCUUGUUGCUUUGGCGGGCCGUUGGGUCCCGACCCACCGCUGGUUUCGACUGGCGAGUGCCCGCCAGAGUCAUCUUCCAAACCCUUUUAUCCGUGACGUCUGAGUACAUAUAAAAAUUAUCA
rnacentral:misc_RNA from 1 species